rnacentral:lncRNA from 1 species
UUCUGCAGGAACAUUUCCUUUCAGAAGCAACAGACAGCAGCACGAGCUUCUCUUCCGAGCACAGCGGUCUGAUGCCCACAGAGGACCACCUCAGUCCCCAGCUCACCUGUGGCCCUGUGCUCCCACCUGGAUUUCUGUGCCACGCAAUCCUGCGAUGCCUCUAUGCUGCCUACACAGACUGCAAGCUCUUGGAGUCGGGACGAGAUGCUCUUGGGGCUGGUGCUCAACUCAGUCCCGAGACAGAGUCAGAAGGAGCUCAAACUAGAAUAAGCUUUAGGCUUCAUGAAAUCUGGAUCCAUCCUUUGUCCUGAUACUCCAGUUUUGCAAACUCUGAGAUCCUACACUUGAAGAUAGAGUCCUAGCUCAAAAGAUCACCUGGAGUAUAUCCCUCAGUCAGGUAGAUUGAUCAACUCCCAGAAACUCUUCUCUUAGAGAAUUCCCAGG